ACAGUGUUUCACAAUUUUAUGCAUGAUUUAAAUUAACCAACAACUCAAUUAAAUUAACCACACUUGCAUGUGAUUUGAAAGUUGAUGCAGGUCUAGAAAAAUGAAGGGUCCAUGUAUCAUUUUUGAACAAAAUUGGACCAAAAACAGUGAUAGCAACAACACAAUGAAAACAAAA